AGGAAGUCUCAAAGUGACAAAAUUGGAUUAAAGCAGCAGGUUGUAAUAUGGUGGGCUGGGCUUAUGCGAGGAGCUGUAUCUAUGGCACUUGCUUAUAAUCAGGUAAAUUCUGGAGAAAGGUUUACAAGUCUAGGGUAUCUUCGGUUUAAGUAAUUAUAGGAUGACCAGUCCAAAGUUGGCCGAGCCAACCACUUCAUUUCAUUCCUUUUAUUGUGGGGGAAUGCUGUUGUUUGAUUCUAAUACGGAAAUGAAUGUAAAAGGCUGAGGGAGUUCUCUCUCCCUCAUUUAAUAUGUUUGGUUAUCCUGGGUUUCUGCAUCUAGAUUUUGCAGUGCUUUCCUCUGCUGCAUAUAAAAAUGUUAUUUUCACUUUAUAUUACAAUGCAAACUUUUAAUUAAAUGAUACAAAGGGAUAUUAACUGAUUUGAUAUGGCAUUUUUAUUUGUUCAAUUUUGUAUAAUGAUGUCCAUGCAGUUCACCAACUCAGGGCAUACUCAAUUGCCAGGAAAUGCCAUCAUGAUAACCAGCACCAUUUCAGUUGUUCUUUUCAGUACUGUGGUAAGUGACUUCAUCAACUAUAUUUGUUUACAAUGAUGUGCUCAUCUUAAUUAUAUUCAUAUUUAUUUUGAGUGUAAAUCAGAUUCUUCUGGCUUCGGUAAUAUAAACUGACUAUACAGACCUGGGGCAAUCAUCUAGUAGCUUGAUAUAGCAGUUUAAUUGUGAAGUAUUAUUUGGAUGGUUGAGGUUCUUUGCUAGUUUUGUGUUGUAAUCCUCUGAAUGCUACAACAGUAGCAGUAAUAGGUGUCAUCAGAGUUUCUGUGUGGCAUUGCUCAUUGUUAGUUGACUGUCCCAAUCGCAGGGGAUGGCAUUCCUUCAUAAGUCCCAUCAAUAGAGCGCUUCAUAUAUCAGAAGCCCACUGAUGGUUGAUAUUGGAUUUUUAGCUUGUCCUCAGGUUGCGCUGGGGAGAAUGACAAACGUUAUUGUUUGUCUUUUGCAGGUAUUUGGAUUAGCAACCAAGAAUCUCAUAAGGGUAUUAUUGCCAAAGACACACUCUAGCAAUGCAGUAAUUUCUGAGUUAGCAGAUUUAGUUGAUUCAAAGUCUCUUGCUUUACCACUUCUUGGUGACGGGAAAGAUGGAGAAUCGGAAGUGGGUGGUGAUAAAAUUCCCCGUCCAACAAGUCUACGCAUGCUUCUGUCGACCCCUACGCGUACUGUUCAUUACUACUGGCGGAAAUUUGAUGAUGCAAUCAUGCGUCCGGUGUUCGGCGGACGAGGAUUUACUCCAUAUAUUCCUGGCUCACCAGAUCUUCGUUGAUAGUAACAAAGAAGGAUAAGAAGAAGAAACAACACUGUAAAAAAAUUCAAAAUAGGUGUAAGAUUAAAGUUAUAAUGCUUGCACGUUUCAUCCAUUCCUCUGGGAUUUGCUUAAUAAGGAGGACAACAAUUUGUGGGUGAUAGUUAUAUAUGAUUAUACGCCUUUUAGUUUUUCUCUUUUUAUUUUAUUUAUUUUAAAAAAAGAACUCUUAGGAUUUUUUAUUUCUAAAAUUUACAAAAAUGAAAUGAAACGGGUAAAUGUAGUUGAUAGUUUUUAUUUUUUAUUUUUACUUUUUUCAGUUUUCUUGUGCAAAGACAAUGUAGGGUUGUUUUUAAAAUGUGUGUUAAUCUGCUUGGUGCACAAAUUUAAUUUGACAUUUCUCUAAUUCAUUCGCUAAUAUUAAAUGUGCUGCUUCAGUUAAUUAUUAUCGGAACACAUUCAACUGCUUAUUUUCGUCUUUUUGCUAUUGUUUCCUGCGAUUUUAUACGGUUUUUGUAAAGCCAGCAUGUCUGUAAAAACUAAUGUGUGACAUAUGCUUUCUAAUUAAUAUUCAUUUUUAAGACUAACAUGGGAAUUAUUGACAGGAAAUAGUUUUUUUGUUGAUUGAUUUUCAUCAAUGGUCACCUUGAGCUGCGUAGUAUGUAUUCGUUAUUUUGUUGUUUAUGUGUCGGCAGUGCGGUCAUUUGGAACAGAAGGACGGAAAAAAGAUGGUCCGCAAAUCCCACCCAGUGACAAAGUUUAUGAAUACAUAUUGUUCCGUGGAAGUGACAUAAAGGACUUACAGGUCAAGUCUUCUCCCCCUGUUCAGCCUAUGCCACCUAUAAACAAUGAUCCAGCUAUUAUACAGUCUCACUAUCCUCGCCCAGUUUCUACACCUGCGAGCUUGCCUCCUGCUGUUACUGGGUCUUUGAGUGAUAUCGGAUCCCACAAUGCUCAAAUGGGACUACCUGGGUCUAAUUUCCAAGGUGGGCUACCUUUAUAUCAACCUGGAGGGAAUCUAGGAACAUGGGGCGCUUCACCUCCUCCCCCAAAUGCAAAUGGGAGUGGGCUUGCUAUGCCAAUGUAUUGGCAAGGUUACUAUGGCCCUCCAAACGGGCUUCCUCAUUUACACCAGCAAUCUUUGCUUCGACCACCACCUGGGUUGUCAAUGCCUUCUUCCAUGCAGCCAAUGCAGUAUCCCAAUUUUAAUGCCCCUUUACCCACUGGAGCCUCAAACUUGCCGGUUUCAAACUUGCCAACUUCAAACUUACCGGUUUCAAACUUUCCAGCUUCCUUACCAGAUAUUCAGUCUCCUUUGCUUUCUGUUGGUAGUGGUACUAGUUCCCUUAAUUUAGCAUCCACUUCUUCAGCACCAUCAACUUUGCCUUCAACUUUACCCCCAGUGCUCUCUGCUAGUUUAGCUUCAGAAACAUUACAGAGUUUGCUUCCUAAUAAGGCUCCAAGUUCUGCACUUCCUGCAGCCAAUUUAAGUGCCAGCUUACCAGCGCUCUCUCCUUUGACUUCUUCAGGCCCAGAAUUAAACACCAUUGCACCACUGAUCUCCAAUAAGCCUAAUGCAAUUUCUGGUCCAACAAUGCCAUAUCAAAGCACUGCACAAUCUACAUCUUCAGUUGUGACCUCUAAUUCUCUUCGAACAGAAACACCAACACCUUCACUGAUAACCCCAGGUCAGCUGUUGCAGUCUGGACCAACUACAAUCCCUUCUUCACAACCUGUGCAAACAGGUCAUAAAGACGUGGAGGUGGUUCAAGCAUCAACAACAUUAUCAACAGAACCAUCAGUGCCUGCUGUUACAGAAGCUCAGCCACCAAUACUCCCAUUACCUGUUCCAGCACGGGCAAGUUAUAAGCCAAAUGGAGCUCCUUUUCAUUCUCGUCAUGGUUAUAGGGGGCGGGAAAGAGGAAGAGGAACUGGGAGUUCACGUUCUGUGACAAAAUUUACUGAGGAUUUUGAUUUUAUGGCAAUGAAUGAGAAAUUCAACAAGGAUGAAGUAUGGGGUCAUCUUGGCAAGAGUAACAAAUCUCAUUCAAAGGACAGAGAAGAUGGAAAAGGCAGUGAUGAAGAUGAUUCUCAAUAUGAAGAUGAUGAUGAAUUGACUAAGAUUGAAAUUAAGGUGAUGGUGCAUUCUUUUUGCAUUGCUUUUAUGCUAAAUAAAUCUUUGUGAAAAGAAAAUGUUCUAUUUGCUUUUUCCUGCUUCAUCGUGUUCUUAUAUUGAUCUUGUUGAAGCAGCCCCUUUAUAACAAAGAUGACUUUUUUGAUACUCUCUCCUGCAAUGCACUUGAUCAAGAUUAUCAGAAUGGAAGGACUAAAUUCUCCGAGCAACUGAAGAUAGACACAGAGGUUUUACAUAUUUAUAUACAUAUAUUUCCUAGUUUCUGACCUUUGAAAAAUUUGUAGGAUCUACUCAUUGUGGAUAUUUGUUUAAUCUUUGCAGACUUUUGGGGACUUUCAAAGAUAUCGGGGAGGUAGGGGUGGCCGUGGGCCUCCACGUGGUGGCCGUCCCUAUGGGUCUUAUCAUGGACGGGGGUAUGGCUAUGGCUAUGGCUAUGGCUAUGGCUAUGGUGGGCGGGGCCGUGGACGGGCCAUGCCCAAUCGUGCAUCGUAGGCAGUGCUUGGUAUUUUGAGAUGUUAGUGGGGUAAACUUAGAGCCCAAUUGCCCAUGUACCAACAAGCAAUAUGGAGCUAUGCUUGCAGUGUGUUUUUCUGAUUGUCUAGAGAAUAAGGGGGAGGGAUGUGCUACAUGUUUUACAUUUAGUACAUCCGAAUUCCCUUUCGUUUAGCAGUCCUAGUGGAGUUAAAUGAAGAAUUAUAUUUCAAUUGAAGAAUUACUUGUUUGCCAUUCACAUCUUUUGUAGCUUGCCUGUAUUUGCCAUCUCGAUUGUGUAGAAGUCCUUCAAUGAGCUAGUUGAAUAAUUUGUCAUUCAGGUUUUUGGCAAAGGUCGGCAUUUAUCGAGGUAGAACCUAAUACAAGCCAAGAAGUUUGAUAUUUCAAGGGCUGAAAUGUGGUUGCGGGGCGAUGAAAAAGCAACGGCCCAUUUUGUUUUCCCAUUGUUAUAUAGUUAUGAGAUUUGCACCGAUACAUUGAGCAAAGGUAUAACAAUUGGAUGGUUCAUUGCACAAAUUUAAAGCACCUUGGUUCUAAAGCAACGGGAGCUGCAGUUGGCUUGGCGGUUGAACGUCUAACCAGUAAAAUUUGCAGUUCAGCCCCUGAGUGCGGUAUUUUCAUUUCUAGUAGAAAAUAUAAUAGGAAAAAAAUUUACAGAGUUAGUUUAUACUUAAAAAUGUCAAAAUAAAUCUUGGAGAAGGAAAGCAAUUGAAGUACACCCAAAGUUUCCUAUUUACAGUAUUGUACAUGAAAAGAAUAGAGAUAAGAUGGUUUAAGAAAUCUUGAGUUCAUGAGAUCAAUAUUGAAUUGUAUUGUGAAAUGAAAUAGAAGAAAGAGUAAAAAAUUGAAUAACAU
rnacentral:misc_RNA from 1 species